rnacentral:rRNA from 1 species
AUAAUUAGCUUGUCAUUUGACUAAACCUACUGGGAAUUUUCCUUUGGCUCUGAGCUGAUCCCUAUUCUUUCUUCUCACCUCCAUCGGAUGGCCAAGCGAGUACAGCCGGAAUGCACCUAUGAGAACCGUGGAAGGCGCCAUCGUGAGGCUUGGCUUCGCUUUGUGCAUUCCCUUCUUCGGGCUGUUCAGGUAAGAUUUCACAUGACCAAAUAGUAGGCUCGGCAUUUUCUUUAG